GCCAGGUACAGUGGUGCAUGCCUAUAGUCCCAGUUACUUUGGAGGCUGACAAGGGAGAAUCGCUUGAGCCCAGGAGUUUGAGACUAGCUUGGGCGAUAUAGUGAGACCCUGUCUC
rnacentral:sRNA from 1 species